rnacentral:lncRNA from 1 species
CAACAAAAUGCAUCGUACUGGUCAGGACAUAGAAGCAUGCCAGGAUAUGAUGACUGCCAACAAUUAUUCUAGAGAAAUUUACUCCGAUGGGGCAGCUGAGAAGAGACCUAGGAAGCCAGAGUUUAUACCCAGGCAAAGAAGUUGCAGUUGUAUAAUACCAAAGAUUCCCACAACAUGUAAUGCAAUUCUGUAGCCCUCCUCCCAUCACAGCCAAAAUUGGGGCAUCCAUACUAUCAAAAGGUGACCAUUGUCAGAGUGAAAAGGAGGAUAAGCCAAGUUUUCAUCACUCCAAAGAAAAUCUCCACAACCACCAGCUGCUUAGGAGAAGAGCACUUGGAAAUAUGCGCGUUGCUUGUGCUCAUCUUCCAUUGGUCAGAACUAGUCACAUGGCUGCAUCUACCUGCAAGGGAUGCUGGGAAACAUAGUCUACGGUAUGCUCAAGGAGAGAGGAAACACAGAUUUUGCUAAGCAGGGUGCUGGGGAAACUAGCCAUCAAUUCAUUCCAUGAUCUCCUGUAUCUCAGGACUCGCUCCGUGCAGCCCGGACUCCUCUUGCACAGGAAUUCUUAGCCUUUGAUAAGAGGUGAAACAUCCAGUCCCUACCCUGAGAGUGCUCCUGUUCAGCCUUUAACUGCAGCCCAGACAAACCACUGGGAUCACUCUGCCUGUCACAGCACAGAAAAUUCCAACCUUUAUACACCAAUGACGUUGCACCCAGCAGCGGGGGUGCAUGAAUCCAUGCUGGCUGAAAGGAGGUCUGAUUGCCCAGCAAGUCCAUUUGUUCCUUGCUUUAAAGCGAUCAAUCAUUUACUCAGAUUUCAGUGAAAUGGCCUGAAACGGGUAAGGAAGAAAGAGCCCAGAGCUUGGGCAUGGGAGAUUAGAGGUGAGUCUCAGCAGAGGCACUGAGCAGGCAGCCACAUCAAGAAGACCAAGCCUCAGGGCUCCAGACUUCUCACCAGGAGUCGAGGGGUUGCUGCGCAAUUGAGGCUCAGUGGGAUCUGUUGCUGCAGCUUCUGCUAAACUUCAGCUGCAGUCUCUUCACUGACUCAGUAUUUAGAGCCUUUUCAGUUCAAGGUCAUUCCUGGAGUCCCUCCUUCAGCUCCUGAAGCACCAGCCCCCUCUAGUUUAUUUCGAACAACUCUUCUUCUGUAAUCACCAAUAAUUAUAUACCUCCAAAGAUUUCACCCAUUCAGGUCCUCUGACCCAGCAUUCUACGUUUAGGAAUCCAUCCUAAUAAAAUAGUCCUGAAUCUGGAAAUAGCCUUAUACACAAAAAUGCUCUGAAGAAUUGCCACUUUCAUACUGUGCUUCUGGAGAAGACUCUUGAGAGUACCUUGGACAGCAAGGAGAUCAAACCAGUCAAUCCUCAAGGAAAUCAACCCUGAAUAUUGGAAGGGCUGAUGCUGAAGCUGAAGCUCCAAUACUUUGACCACUUGAUGUGAAGAGCCAACUCAUUGGAAAAAGCCCUGCUGCUGGGAAAGAUUGAGGGCAGGAAGAGAAAGGGGAGACAGAGGAUGAGAUGGUUGGAUGACAUCACUGAUUCAAUGGACAUAAAUUUAAGCAAACUCCGGGAGACAGUAAAGGACAGAGAAGCCUGGCAUACUGCAGUCCAAGGGGUUGCAAAGAGUUGGACACGACUUAGCAACUGAACAAUGACAAAGAUGUUCACCAGCAGUAACAGAACAGUGGCAACAACCUAUUGUAAGGAAGGUUGGAAUAUCAUCCUUUCUUGGAUGCUUGGAAUAGCAUCACCAGCCCGACAAUAAGACAGUUGCUUAAAUUAGAGGGUGAAAUAUCAAGACAUUGAAAUACAUGUUUAUCAUGAAUUUAUUAUCAAGUGUCCAGAUGAUUAAUGUCGAGAGAGGAGUAAGAAACAAUAGUAGCAUAAGUACAGUUCUGUAAAAAAAAGUCAAUAAUUAACAGAACCAUGAUUAUAUAAGAUACUAUCAUAGGGUGAAACUGGGUGAAAAGUACACAGAAACUAUACCAUUUUUGAAACUUUUGCUGAGU